UGGGCUAAGAGGCUCCAUGGAUUAUCAAGUUGGGUUCUACCCAUAGGAUGCUCCAUGGAUGCUCCAUGGGAGUUACAAACCCAUGGGUCAUGGAAAUGAAGAGUCAUGACACAUUAGGGUUUACAUGGUGUAACCCUAGAUGUGCCAACACUAUAUAAGAGUCCCAUUCUCCACAAAAUUGGCGACACAAGUUGAACACUAAGAAACUAGAGGGCUUGGCCGAUUUUGAGAAGUGUGUGUUAUCUCAAGAGUCUUUCCAAGAGCAUUUGGUGUUGUGUGAAGCAUUUGAGGCAUCACACUUGGGGUGCUAGGCUCACAAGGUUUCAAGGAACACAAGCAACAACAAGGUAAGUUAUUCUAUCUAUGAUUCAAGUUAAAAUUGUUCCCCAUGUAUGCUAGAUAGGAAUAUAACCUUGGAAUUCAACUUUGCAUGAUAAUUAGACAAACAUAGAUCCAAGGUUAUUAGGGUUGCAUGUACACUUAGGAAGUGUUAGAAUGCUCAAAACCCAUCAGUGGUAUCAGAGCCUAGGCUUGUUUGUUUGUUAUUUGUGCUUAAAAGUUGAAGAAAGUCGAAAAUCUUGCUGUCUGACUGAUGGACUCGGCGAGUCCAUGGGGAGGACUCGUCGAGUUCAUGUGUAUCUUCAACCUACUCGGCGAGUAGGUUUAUGCACUCGGCGAGUAGGGUCGACAGAGUGCAGAAUUUCGACUUGAGUUGCUGGAAAUGGAUUAGAAUCAUUACCCUAAAAUGUUUUGGUACUUGAAAACUUAUUUUAGAAGGUGUAAUGUCUUUUCUAACUCAUUUACAACAACUAGUUAUCAAAAUUACAAAGAUUAAAUGUGAUUUUGAUUCUUGAAAGUGUUCAUAUUCAUAUUCUUGUUCUUAUGAUGUUUAGAUGAUCAUAGGAAUUAUUUGUAACCUAUGUGGUAGAUUAAUUCAUGAUCAUAAUGUGUUUUAAUGGAGUCCAUAACUUGUCCUCAAGUUAUGGAAAACCAAAAGUCUCUUGGAUUAAAAACCAUUAAAAGAACACAAGAGUUAGGAAAAAUGAAAAGUCCUCAUUUUAUUACUCUAUUAAACUCAUAAGUUACAAGAAAUGAAAAGUUUUGAAAGUUUACAAAACUUGCCCUCAAGUUUUGGAACAAGUAAAGUUAAGUUAAAACUUUAGUUCCAACCCCUAGAAUUUUAAAAGUUAAAAUUCAACCCUUAUACUUAUAUUAUUAUGAUUUAAUAAUUAUAUAUAUAUGUAUAAGAACAAAGUCGUCUUACCGCUAGUACGCCUCAUUCACGAAGCCGGUCUAUAAGGUGGGUAUAAGGUUGUUGCCUAUAAAAUGGUGACUUAAUGGGUGUCCACUCUCACCCACCGCUUGCUUGAUCGGUGGAGGGUCGUUAGCCGAACGGGUAAGACAAGGACUUAUUAAUUCUCAUUCAAAGUAUGAUGAAUAUUAUAAAGUAACUAAAUGUUUUAUUAAAUUCCCAAUCUUAGUUACUUUAGGAAAAAUGUGAAUAAGGUGCUAUUCCAUGAAAUUACACUUUACACUUUGAUUAAGUCGUUGGUGGAGCGUGUGUGGUUAACCGGCACACUAACUUGGACUUAACAAGGUAGGUAAAGGGUGACUUAGGGUUUAUUAUAGUAUCGAUGGAGCGUGUGUGGUUAACCGGCACAUCGAUUGAGUGAUAAACUUUAAGGGUACCAAGUGAUUUGCAUGGUUACUUCACACCUCGUUUUGUGAUCCUCGGUAUCCCAGUCACAAAACUUGGAGGGCACACUCGAGAUUGAAACAUGCCUUUGAAAAGUUCAUUGAAUCUCAAAGAAUCUAGGAAUUUCUAAGAACCAUUCAAAAACCUAAUACUAAAAUAUUGCGGUUUUCGUGGUGGAAAUUGGUGAAUCGUCAUUCACCUACCUUUCAAAUAUGAUAUAGCUUAGAUUACGGCAUACCUCUUCUAAGUUAUAUUAUAUUGUGAUUGGAUCCUAGCCUUAAUAUUACAUUUGGGUGUUUUAUUAAGGACUCUCUUAUAUCUAAACUAAUCUUGUCCUCUUUCCUUCAGAUGUCUUUCAACAAUGCUUCUGGCUCUAAUCCUAAUGGCUCCUUUACCCUUAUGAACUUGUGUGGGAAAGUCACCUUUGAUGGAUCCAACUUCAAUGAGUGGAUCAGAAACAUCAGGAUGAUUACCCGCUACGAGGACAAAGAAUAUGUCCUUGACAAGGAGCUUAAGGAGAUUGAUGAGUCCACUGCAACUCCUCAGGAGAUCGCUGAAUUUCGGGCACAUGAAAGGGAUGCUACGAAAGUGGCUUGCAUCAUGAUGGCCACGAUGACAGCGGAACUCCAAAAGUCUUAUGAGGAUUUCUACCCUUAUGAAAUGCACCAAGAUUUGAUGGAAAGAUACCAUCAAAGUGCAAGACAAGAGAGGUAUGAAAUCAUCUGCUCCAUGAUAACAACCAUGAUGAAGGACGGGGAAUCCGUCACGAGCCACAUGCAGAAAAUGCAAAGGUAUGUGGAUCGUUUGCUGAAGCUUAAUGUGAACUUCCCGGAGGAUCUUGCAAUAGAUAUUAUUUUGCAUUCCUUACCAUCGUGCUAUGAUCAAUUCCGCAUGACAUAUCACAUGAACAAGGAAGAAGUCACCCUCAGCAAACUUCAGGGACUUCUCAAGACCGCAGAAUCAGGUCUUAAGGGGAAGUCGGUUGCUAUCACUCCUACUCAAAACUCUACUCCGGUUUUGGCAAUCGGGAAAAGUCGAGGGAGGAAGAGAAAGAGCUCUUCUAAGGGUACCAAGGUUCGGACCCUUGAUGGCUCUUCUUCAAGUGGAACCAAGAAAGGUUUCAUUACUCCUUCUUCUGACCCAAAAGAGGCUGAAUGCUUCUAUUGCCAUGAAAAAGCUCAUUGGAAGCGGAACUGCCCAAAAUACCAGCAAGAUGUGAAGGAUGGGAAAGUUAAACCCAACCAUGCAGGUAUUUACACUAUCAUUUCUAAUAACUCACCCCAUUCUAAUUCUUGGGUCCUUGAUACCGGGUGUGGUAUUCACAUUUGUUGUGACUUGCAGGGACUAAGAAGAAGUGAGGAUGUGGAGCAAGGAAGGAUAAACUUGAUCAUGGGGAAUAGGAAAGCUAUACCUGUUACCAAGAUUGGAGUUUAUACUUUAUCGCUAAGUAGUGGGUUUAGUUUAGAUUUGAAUAAGUGUUGUUAUUCGCCAGGAAUGGCAAGAAAUAUUAUUUCCUUUCAUGCUUUGUACAAACAAGGGUUUACCUUUUCAUUUAAUAAUGAAGUUGGUUCUAUAGAUGUUUUCUAUAAUAAUGUCUUUUAUUUUAAAGCAUUACCUUGUGAUGGUGUGUAUGAAGCUGUAUCUGUUGUAGAUAACUUGGGAAAUAAUGUUUUGUGUAUUGAUUCUACUAAUAAUAACUUGGAUAAAGCAUCUUUAUGGCAUUGUCGUCUUGGACAUAUAAGCAAGAAACGCAUAGGCCAACUCCAAAAGGAUGGAGUCUUGGAGUCGUUUGACCUAAAGUCAGAUGAUAGUUGCGAAUCAUGCUUACUUGGAAAAAUGACAAAGUCACCCUUCACAGGUUCGUGUGAGAGGGGUGAAGGUUUGUUGGACCUUAUACACACGGAUGUGUGUGGACCAUUCAAACAUGCCACAAGGGAUGCUAAUCGUUAUUAUUUGACUUUUACUGAUGAUUAUAGUAGAUAUGGAUAUGUCUACUUGAUCAAGCAUAAGUCAGAGACUUUCGAGAGGUUUAAGGAAUUUAAACAGGAAGUCGAGAAUCAAUUGGGCAGGAACAUUAAGAUGCUUCGAUCCGAUCGUGGUGGUGAGUAUCUUAGUUCAGAGUUCCUCGACUAUCUAAGGGAAUGUGGGAUAGUCUCACAAUUGACACCUCCCAGGACACCACAGUUGAAUGGUGUGGCUGAGAGGCGUAAUCGAACCUUGUUAGAUAUGGUUCGUUCCAUGAUGAGUCGAGCUACGCUACCAAUCUCAUUCUGGGGGUAUGCCUUAGAGACUGCCGCCCAUAUUCUUAAUCUAGUCCCUACAAAGAAAGUUGCCAAAACUCCUCACGAGAUGUGGACUGGUAAAGUACCUAAACUAGACCACAUCAAGAUUUGGGGUUGCGAGGCUUUCGUGAGACGCGAGACUCAUGAUAAGCUCGAACCUCGAAGCGAGAGGUGUAUUUUCAUCGGUUACCCACAGCGAUCCUUUGGUUACCUCUUCUACAGACCUAGUGACAAUGUGGUCUUUGUAGCAAGAAGAGGAGUCUUUCGAGAAAGAGAGUUUAUAAGCCAAGGAGACAGUGGGAGGCAAAUUGAUCUUGAAGAAAUUCAAGAAUCAAGCGGUGAAGGAACUUCAAACUCUAGCCCUCAACUUGAGGAGGAAACUCCUGUUGAGCCAAUUGACAAAUCUGUACCUCUGAGACGUUCCACGAGAGUUAGGAGUGCACCUGAGCAUUACUAUGGAUUCCAUAUUACUGCAGAAGGUGAGACACUUAUUAGUGAUGAGACACUAGUAAGUCAAGAUGACCCUAACAGCUACGAGGAAGCCAUGGCAGGCCCCGAGUCUGCUAAAUGGAAAGAGGCUAUGGAUAGCGAGAUACAAUCCAUGUAUGACAAUCAAGUUUGGAACUUGGUUGAAAAUGUACCAGGUCGUAAGACAGUAGGGUGCAAAUGGGUCUUCAAGAAGAAGACCGACAUGGAUGGUAAAGUACACACUUAUAAGGCUAGACUGGUUGCAAAGGGCUUCUCUCAAAUUCCUGGAGUGGAUUAUGAUGAGACCUUUUCUCCGGUAGCCAAGAUUAAGUCUAUUCGGGUUCUGUUAGCCAUAGCUGCAUUUCAUGACUAUGAAAUAUGGCAGAUGGAUGUCAAAACCGCUUUCCUUAAUGGAAAGUUGGCUGAAGAUGUUUACAUGAGUCAGCCAGAGGGUUUUGUCAGCAACGAGUACCCUAAUAGAGUGUGUAAGCUUGAGAAAUCCAUUUAUGGAUUGAAGCAAGCACCUCGCAGAUGGAAUCUUUGCUUUGAUGAAAAGGUCAAGGAAUUUGGCUUUUCUAGGAGUGAAGAUGAAUCUUGUGUGUAUGUCAAGGCUAGUGGGAGUAUAGUUAGCUUUUUGGUAUUGUAUGUGGAUGACAUACUACUCAUAGGAAACGACAUUCCAACCCUGCAGGAAGUAAAGUCCUGGCUUGGGAAGUGUUUCGCUAUGAAGGACCUUGGUGAAGCUGCCUAUAUUCUAGGGAUAAGAAUCUUGAGAGAUCGGAGUAAAAGACUAAUUGGACUUAGUCAGAGUACCUACUUGGAUAAGGUGCUGAAGAGAUUCAGCAUGCAGGAUUCCAAGAAAGGAGAGUUACCCAUCCAGAGUAACACCAGAUUGAGUAAGACACAAAGCCCUAGCACUGAGGCUGAGAUAGCAGAAAUGAGUCGAACACCUUACGCUUCGGCUGUAGGAUCGAUCAUGUAUGCUAUGACGUGUACUCGACCCGAUGUAGCUUUUGCCUUGAGCAUGGUUAGCAGGUAUCAGGCGAACCCUGGCAAGGCACACUGGACUGCGGUAAAGAAUAUCCUCAAGUACCUACGGAGGACUAAGGACUGGGUCCUUACCCUCGGUGGGAGUGAUGACUUGAGAGUUGUAGGGUAUAGUGAUGCUAGCUUCCAGACUGAUAGGGAUAAUUUCCGCUCUCAGUCGGGCUGGGUCUUUACCCUAAACGGAGGAGCAAUUUCUUGGAAGAGUUCCAAGCAAGAGACAGUGGCAGAUUCUACUUGUGAAUCAGAGUAUAUUGCAGCUAGCGAAGCAGCAAAGGAGGCGAUAUGGCUGAAGAACUUCAUUGGAGACCUUGGAGUUGUACCAGCUAUUAAAGAGCCAAUGGAAAUUUUCUGUGAUAGUGAAAGUGCUGUUGCCUUAGCCAAGGAACCAAGGGAUCAUGGGAGAUCCAGACACAUCGACAGAAAAUACCAUUUCAUUAGACAUCGGAUCGAAGAAGGACUCCUCGUGGCAAAGAGGGUAUCAUCGGAUGAGAACCCAGCAGAUCCCCUCACGAAGGGACUGAGUAGGGUUAAGCAUCUCCAGCAUGCUCGGAGCAUAGGGCUGAAGGAUGAUAUAAGUUUUAGUAGUUAGAUAACCCAGAAAUUUGUAAAGUGUAAUUGACAUUUGAUGAUGAAUAAAAGGUGUUUUAUUUAUGAGUAAAGUGUUGCUAUCUCUUGUCAAUCGUUUACUAUAUUUCUUUUGCAUGUUUUGACUUCCAGAAUAAUUUUGUUUGGUGUAACAUAUUAUUCAAACCUCCACAGUCGGUCAUAUGUCGGAAGUAGGUAUGAAUCAAGACUGUCAUGAUGGGUUGUAGAGGUCUAAGGUGUUGGACAAGGCUACAACAAUCAUGAGUGCUCAUAAGUUCUGAGCAUUGGACUCAACCCACGCUCACUGGAAUCACUUCAUGGAAUUCUAUCUCGAGUGAUCGUGAGACGGUAAUAUCAUAUAAGUCUUCAAACCUAGAGAUAUGAUUUGUUACUUACAAGUUGGUUAUGCAUUGACUGUACGAAACCGCAUUGGUAACUCGAUGUUAUAAAACGUACUUUUGUGUGUAAUUCAAUGAGUGGUAGAACAAACAUAUGAGUCGAAGUUUAUCUGUUCCUUCUUGGAUUAGAAGCUGAUAUCUGGGCCCCUCGAUGAUUUUGUUUUGACCCAUGUACCGGGCCCGGUCAGAACUAAGUUGAUGUGUUCAAUUAAGUUCUAUGUCAAACAAAUCGGAAAUCGGGAAACAAAUGCUGGACAAUAAGCAAGACAAUGUUCCAUGUAUUUGUCCGGCUGAUAUCUAGAACGGAGGAUUAUAUGAUCACUUAUCUUAAAUGGCGUACCAUCAUCUUCUCAGUUCCGAGAGACCUUGAAAGAGCUACGAUUGCCGGUCGGUUCCUGAAGUACUAGAGAUAUAGUUAUUAGACUUAUCCAAGUGGGAGACUGUUGGAUAAGGUGUCUAAGUCCAUAACUAUUUCGGGCUUGUACUUGACCCGACCCGGCAUGGUCCAUUUGGGUUGCAUGGCACCAUGCAAUUGGAUAGACUAAAUGAGAGAAAUAACACUUGGAGAUUAUUAAUAUAUUAUAAGUUCUAAUAUAUUAAUAAUAUUAUUUGAUUAGUUGAUCAAAGAAUUAAUUUGGAAUUAAUUAAGUGAUCAAAGGAUAACUAAUUAAAUAUAUGGGUUGAUUAUGUAAAUCAUCCAUAUCUUGUAUAGUGGGCUAAGAGGCUCCAUGGAUUAUCAAGUUGGGUUCUACCCAUAGGAUGCUCCAUGGAUGCUCCAUGGGAGUUACAAACCCCUGGGUCAUGGAAAUGAAGAGUCAUGACACAUUAGGGUUUACAUGGUGUAACCCUAGAUGUGUCAACACUAUAUAAGAAGCAUAUUCUCCACCAAAAUCGGCUACACUAAGAAACUAGAGGGCUUGGCCGAUUUUGAGAAGUGUGUGUUAUCUCAAGAGUCUUUCCAAGAGCAUUUGGUGUUGUGUGAAGCAUUUGAGGCAUCACACUUGGGGUGCUAGGCUCACAAGGUUUCAAGGAACACAAGCAACAACAAGGUAAGUUAUUCUAUCUAUGAUUCAAGUUAAAAUUGUUCCCCAUGUAUGCUAGAUAGGAAUAUAACCUUGGAAUUCAACUUUGCAUGAUAAUUAGACAA
rnacentral:lncRNA from 1 species